GCCAACACUUAUAUGCCCUUUAACUUUCUUGUACACUACCGAUGUGGAACUUAUUCCCACAAGUGAUAUGCCAUCUCUCCUCUCAACUGGCAACUGGAACAUUCAAUCGACGCUUGAAACCUGAAAUUGAAAUGUAGCGGUAACAUCAGGAAAUUGAACUGAAACUGAAAUCAAGUGCUGACCUGCUUUGAUACUAUUUUGAGAACUUGUGGACCCAAUAGUGUUAAUAUCAAACUGACAGGUUACACACUGAACUGGGCUUGAAAUUGGGCUCUCCGUCAGCAAAAUGGCCUAAAACCAUUUUGGUUUAGUUUGCCA
rnacentral:misc_RNA from 1 species